GGGCGUGUGGCUCAGUUGGUAGAGCGUUCGCUUAGCAAGUCUUCUCUUCGAAACGUCUUGCGAAAGGUCCUGGGUUCGAUUCCCAGCCCGUCCA